AUUUAACGUGGGUUUUUGGGCAGUCUUAGUAGGAAGGGCAUGCGGGGUUUGCGUUAUGUAGCCCAGAUUAUUAUUAGGUCUACUAUUAAAAGAGGUGAAGUGGGUGCCAGCAUCUGCGGUUACACCCUAUCUUAAUGCCCAAUUCAGGUUAGCUCUUUUUUCAAGCAUGCCUUUGUUUAUGGUGGAAUAAGAUUAGGUUUAAUUUUGUUACACAGGUCAGGCUUAGGAGAACCAGGAUUAGAGACCCUGCUACUAUUUAUGGUCCCUAAUGAUUAUAGUUAUAAGUUACAUGGUUUGGCGGCUUAGCUAGCUUAGAGGAGUUUGCUGUUAAUCGACAAAGCUCGCUAGCUCUUGUCUAUUUUAUUUAUGUACACCGUCAUUUAGUUAAUUUUGUUAGGAUAAUUAAGGUAGUUAGUUAAGUAAGUUAGAUCAAGGUGCAGAGCAGGUAGGUCUAGUUAACUACAAUAUAAAUUUAUACUAUAGGCGUAAUAAGGUAAACAUUGAUAAGUGGAUUUAAAUGUAAUUAAGUCUAUUUGAUUUUACUUGUUAAGUGUACAAAUUGCCCGUCAAUCUCUCAGAGAUAAGUCGAAACAAAGUAGUAAUAUCGGAAGGUACUUCUA
rnacentral:ncRNA from 1 species